GGAACUGGGAGGGACUGGGGGGCACUGGGAGGGAUUUAGGGGACACUGGGGGUCAAUUUAUGACCUAUUUUUGACCAGUACAGACCAGUACAAACUGGAACGGGCCUGCAUGGGCCUGUUCAGACCAGUAUGAGACCAGUACAAACCGGAAAGGGCCUGCACAGACCAGUAAAACACCAGUACAGACCAGUACAGGCCUGCAUGGGCCUGCACAGACCAGUACAAACCAGUACAGACCAGUACCCAAUGUCACCAAUCCCUGGACCAUAGAGAGGAGCGCGGGCGGAGCGGCCCCCGCUACCAUAGAGAGGAGCCCGUCCCCGACGGCUCCAGCGGCUCCCGGGAGCGCCUUGAGCUCCGCCUGGGGCCCCGACGGUUCCUUCGCACCGGAGCAGCCCCGGGUGAGGCUCCUGCGGGCGCGGGGCAGCCCCAGAGGCGGCUCCGUUCUCCCCCCGCCUCCACUGCCCUCGUUCCGCCGGCGCCAUUUCGGCGGCGGCGGUGCCGCCCGACGUCACUUCCGGCGGAAGCGGCGCGGGCCGGAAGCGAGCGGGCGGCGAGCGGCGCGCGCGGGGCCGUGAGCGCGCUGGCAGGUCCGGGGGGGUCCCCGCGUGACGUCACGGAGAGGGCCAGUGACGUCAUAGAGGGGGUGCGAUGGGGGGGAGUCCCCAGGAUCGGGGGUCGGGGGUCUGGGGGAGGCCGCAAAGCAUCACGGGAGGGCGCCGUGAGGGCCUGGGGGAGUCCAGGUGGUCACUCUGGGGGGUCUCAGUGACCCUUGUGGUGUCCCCAUGUCCCCCCAGGCCAGCCAUGGGUGACAGUGACGAUGAGUACGACAGGCGGCGCAGGGACAAAUUCCGGCGGGAGCGGAGCGACUACGAACGGUCCCGAGAGAGGGACGAGAGGCGGAGGGACGACUGGAGUGACCGGUGAGGGGACCGGGGGCACUGGGAGGGACUGGAGUGACCACUGAGGGGACUGGGGGCACGGGGGAGCAGCCCUGGGGGAAUGAGAGGGACUGGGAGCUCCCUGGUUUCUGGUUUGAGGGUUCCUGGGGGGUCCCUGGUUCCCAGUUUGCCCCAGUUUAACCCAGUUUGCCCUCACAGAGAUUGGGAGCGGGGCCGGGAGCGCCGCAGCCGCGAUUACCGGGACUACGACCGCACCCGGCGGGAGCGAUUCUCCCCUCCCCGGCACGAGCUGAGCCCACCGCAGAAACGGCUGAGAAGGGACUGGUGAGAGACUCCCAAAAUAGCCCAGA
rnacentral:lncRNA from 1 species